UACGUAGGGUGCAGGCGUUAAUCGGAAUUACUGGGCGUAAAGCGUGCGCAGGCGGUUUGCUAAGACAGGUGUGAAAUCCCCGGGCUUAACCUGGGAACUGCGCUUGUAACUGGCAAGCUAGAGUGUGGCAGAGGGGGGUGGAACUCCACGUGUAGCAGUGAAAUGCGUAGAGAUGUGGAGGAACACCGAUGGCGAAGGCAGCCCCCUGGGCUAACACUGACGCUCAUGCACGAAAGCGUGGGGAGCAAACAGG
rnacentral:rRNA from 1 species